ACUACGGGGUGCAGCAGUGAGGAAUAUUGGUCAAUGGGCGAGAGCCUGAACCAGCCAAGUCGCGUGAGGGAGUACUGCCCUAUGGGUUGUAAACCUCUUUUGUCGGGGAGCAAAAGCCGGACGUGUCCGGCUGUGAGAGUACCCGAAGAAAAAGCAUCGGCUAACUCAGUGCCAGCAGACGCGGUAAUACGGAGGAUGCGAGCGUUAUCCGGAUUUAUUGGGUUUAAAGGGUGCGCAGGCGGGUUUUUAAGGCAGCGGUCAAAUAGUGGGGCUCAACCCCAUCCAGCAGUUGAAACUGGGGAUCUAGAGUGUGCGAGAGGUAUGCGGAAUGCGUGGUGUAGCGGUGAAAUGCAUAGAUAUCACGCAGAACCCCGAUUGCGAAGGCAGCAUACCGGUGCACAACUGACGCUCAGGCACGAAAGCGUGGGUAUCGAACAGGAUUAGAUACCCCAGUAGUC
rnacentral:rRNA from 1 species